rnacentral:lncRNA from 10 species
GCACUUCGCUUGGAGCAGUUGGUUUUUGAGAUCCGACUUUUUUAACAUUGUGGUGUCAGAACUUACACCGAAAGAUACUUAACAGAUUAGGAGAACUCACAUUCCUUUCUUCCUUUAACAAAGUAUGGGACUCGUUGCAUACAGAAGCCGUGCUAAUUGGGACAUCCCCCCCCCCCAAGUCUGUCAGUUUUACGUUUCGGCAAGUCCUUAAUCCAUCCAAAUGCCACAUUUAAGGACCAAGUAUUUUUCUGCAGUGUCGGUUUCUAAUUUUCAGUUAUGUGGCAGUAGUCUCCCCAA